UUUUGCCCUAAUGGGAAGAAUGGGAGGGAAUGCACUAUUCAUCGUCUCCCCUUAGAACAAAGAACUAGUAGCAGAGCAUCGGUGCAACGGUGGUGCUAUGCUUGAAAUCUCCCUCUCUCACUCACAUUGGAAACCGACAUUCUAUGACCGCGACUGCAAGUAGCCUGUGAUAGAAUGUCGUCUGAAACCACUCCUUGCAGCUGAAAUUACUCCCUGCGGCAUCGUUUGAAUUUUGGCUAACAUCCCGCCUUAGUUCUGAGUACCAAUCCGAAAUGAAGUUGGAUUGUAGCUUUGCUAAAAACUGCAUUGCUGAGCCGGCUUCACUCCAAGUUGCGCCAUCUUCAGUGAAAGCUGGUUUUGGGAUUCAAUAUGGGCGUGAACUACCACUUUGGGAGCUAUAUUUGUGGAAUUUGUAUCAGAAGGGUGAAAAAUUUUGGAUUGAAUGAAAAAUGAUUGUUGCAAUGAAAACUUAUGGUAAGCAAAAGGUUGGUACACCUAUUGAGCAUCUUGAGACCAAGGAUUCUUUAAUGAUGCAAGGCAAUAUAAUUUUUCAUGAUAUUAGCAGUCAUCCAAAUUGUUUACGUUCAAAAUAAAAUGGUUUCACACUUAAGAUCAAAUAUCACAAUAAAUGUCCAUCUCAGAUUUGUACACAAUUUCUCCAAAUGCUUGAAUGCACAAGAAGAAUAAGAAGUUUCUCCAAUAAUGUUAUGCCUUAUAUAUUUAAAAUC